ACCUCUAGACACGGUACCGGCCCUCCUGGUGCAACAGCCUCUUGAUGUCUGAUGAGGAGGUUUGUCUGAGCAGCCCCCAGUAGUACCUGAAUCACCACCUGCCACAUGAAUGGGGCCAGAAGGAAAAUUCAACAUCGGAAUUCGAUUCCACUUUCUCAAGUUAACUGGAAAAUUCCAUGGAAGAAAAAUAAAAGGAAAGAGUGAGUCAACCAAUUCUGAGAAAGUUAAUCUCUGUUUUCAUUUUUUUUAAAGGUAUAUAUUCUGGCUGUAGAAAAUUAAGAAAAAUUGUUCUUUGGAAUUAUUCCAAAUUUAAAUUCUUAAAAAAUUACAUUAGAGUUUUAUUGGAUUUGUUUUACAUUAGGGUAAAUUUAGAAGACGAUUUUAAAGAUAUCUUGUCUUUGUUGAUCCCGGGACACAAUAGAGCUCCACAUUGACUAGCUUCUUCUUUCAUGUAUUAAUUAUUUUCUUCAUACAGACCCUCUUCCACCUUCUAUGAAGGUAGUCCAUAGGUAUUUUGUGGAGCUUUUUUGUGUGUGUGGUUAGAAUGAAGAGAAUGUUUUUCAUUCUGUCUUCUAACUGGCAAUAUAUAGAAGUUCUUAAUUCAUAGGUUGCAAUUUUGUACUUUUAUAUUAACAAUGAAUCUUUAUGUAUAAUAGAAAAUAUGAUGAGAAAUGAAGAAAAUAAAAGUCAUUUACAAUCCAGCCAAAUCACUUGUGGAUUUUGAGUUAUGCCAUUCUAUACUUGUAUUUAUACAAAAAUGAGACUACAUACUAUAUAUUGCAUUCUAACCCAGUUUUUCUCUUGACAAUUUAUUAGCCACAUAAGCAAGUCAUUGGUUGUGCUGCACCUAACACUGCACCUCUCCUGAACCAAGAAGGGGCGUUGGCCUCUGGCAGAGGCUUCAGGGGCCUUUGCUUCCCUCUGGUUUUUGGCACCCCUCGAGGACACUCUAGGACAAGGUGAAAUAAUCAGGAUGACAGAGUGCCUGUGCCUCUGCCCGUGACAAGGUGAAAUAAUCAGGACGACAGAGUGCCUGUGCCUGUGACAAGGUGAAAUAAUCAGGACGACAGGGUGCCUGUGCCUGUGACAAGGUGAAAUAAUCAGGACGACAGGGUGCCUGUGCCUCUGUCCGUGACAAGGUGAAAUAAUCAGGACGACAGGGUGCCUGUGCCUCUGCCCGUGACAAGGUGAAAUAAUCAGGACGACAGGGUGCCUGUGCCUCUGCCUGUGCCCGUGGCAGGGUGUUCUUCAGGCUUCCAUCACGUCUGCUGUUGGCUGGGUGUGGCAAAGAGGUGACUGUAUUGGGACAAUUUUCUUCUUUCUCUAGAUAACUAACAGUGUUUAUCAGGGAUGAGAGUUGGGUUAAUGAAAUCUUUUUUUGAUUGAGACAAUCCUGUGAUUUUUCUCCAUAGACCUGCUAGUAUGAUGCUAGAAGAAAACACUGUCUCACAAUGUACCAUAAAAUUACCAUAAAUUUUUAUAUUGUAUCAUAAAAGUACCUCAUAGUUCCACAUCACAACCAACUCGUUCAUGGAGUGAUACUCUUUUAACACCCUAAGGAUUCAACUUGUUAAUAGUAUUUUUAGUAAUUUUGCAUCUAUACCCACAAAUAAAAUCGGGCUAUAAUUUUUGUGUUAUAUUAGGUUCUUGCAUAAAAAUUGCACUAUUCUAGAAAUCAUUGCAAAACCCCUGUCUUCUCUGUGACUGGGGAUACUUUAUACUGUAGGGGAAUUUUCUGUGCUUCAAAAUUUUAAUAGAACUCACUAGUAAAGCAAUAUAGAGAAGAUUUACUGGAAUUAAAUAAUUGUUUAUAAAGAUUAGAAAGAUAAUUUUAAUUGGGGAAGUAAAAUAUCUCCUUUUAACGAAUGCAAACAACACAAAAGUGGGUGAAGUGGAAACUGCGAGUCCCAAAUUCACCCUACAAAGGCAGCUUCCAUAUUUUAAACCCCAUUGAGAAGGAAAGAUUCUGCUAAUUCUCUUUUUAUUAUUUGCAGUUUUAAUUUUGUACCUACUAAAAUACUUUUUGGCACUUACUUUAAUUCUGUGUAUAAUGUGCAUUUGAGUUACUAGUGUUCUUUGACUUUGACCCAAGAGACUUCCUUUAGUAUUUCUUAUGACAGGCUUGUGAAUUCUCUCGGUGUUGUUUAUCCAAGAAUGUCUUAAUUUCUCUUUCUUUUUGACAUUUGAUCUUAGCCAAAAGGCUGACAUAUUUUAAAUUUUAAUUAAUAAAUUAAUGGGGGAGGGUACCAGAAAACCUGCUAGACAAAUUCUAAAGAGCUGUAAUACUUCUCUCUUUUUGGAAGAAUGUUUUCUGGAUAUAGAAUUCUUGGUUAGCAGUGUUUUUCUUCAGUGCCCUGACUGUGUCAUCUCACUGCCUGCUGGUCCCAUGGCUUCUGGUCAACAAGUGCUGUUAUUUUAUCAAGGGCUGAUUUACCUGACGACUCAUUUGGUUUCGGCGGAACAGGUUCCUGCUAUUUUAUCCAGGGCUGAUUUACCUGAUGACUCAUUUCGGUUUCGGGUGAACAGGCGCUGCUAUUUUAUCAAGGUCUGAUUUACCUGACAACUCAUUUUGGUUUUGGGUGAACAGGUUCCUGCUGUUUUAUCAAGGGCUGAUUUACCUGACGACUCAUUUCAGUUUUGGGUGAACAGGUUCCUGCUAUUUUAUCGAGGGCUGAUUUACCUGACGACUCAUCUCACUCUUGCUGCUUCCAGGACUCCCAGUUUCCCUUUGAUUGUUUGACUACAGUGUGUGCAGGUAUGGCUCUCCUUUCAUUUAUUCUAUUUUGAGAAUAAAUGAAUAAAUGACAAUAAAUGAAUAUUCAUUUAUUAAGCUUUUGGAUAUGUAGAUGGAUCUUUUUCAUCAAAUUUGGGGAAUUUACACCCAUUAUUUCUUCAAAUAGUAUUUUUGUCCCCUUAUUUUCUCUCUUUCUGUGAUUCCCAUUGUACCUGUUAGAUACCCUUGAUGAUGUCCCAAAGGUCUCUGAGGCUCCAUUCAUUUUUCAACACUUUAGCUGGUGUUCACAUUGCAGUUCUGGAGGAACAGAUUUUCAGAGCUUCUUAUCCUGCCAUUCUAGAAGUGCUUCUCUUGUCUAUCCUAUUUAUCAGGAAAAUGAGAGCUUUCCAAGAAACUUCCAGAAAAUCUGAGAUUUUUUAAAUUCUUGGUUAGAAUGUCACCACUCCUCUGUGCAAGAGGGGCUGGAAAGUGGAAAGACCUUUUAAGUGAAUGUGUCAAAAUAUUAAGGGAAUUAGGAAUGGGAUUGAUUACUAAUCAAUAGUGUGUACCAUACUAUGGUUGUAAGUAUUCUGUGUAUUCUUCCAAACUUCAAAAACAAUUUAUAUAAACAUACACACACAUACUACAUUUUGUAUUUCACAAUUUGUCUAUUUUGAGUUGAUGAACAAUUCAAAUGGUUUCCCCAACUAUUUAUGUUACAAAAGGUGCCACAAUGGUGCCCUGUAGAUGUAUCUUUGUUCAGACAUGCACCUAUCUCUGUAAGUCAGUUUUGUGGGAGUGGGACGGUUAGGUCACUGGAUAUGUGGAUUUACAAUGUUAAUAGGUAUAUAAAACUGCUUCCUCAAAAGGUUGAAACACUUAAAACCCCCCACAGUAGGAUGGGAGAGCCAAUUUCUACACAUCUGCUCCAACACUAGAUACUGCCAGUCACCGAUAACUGAAAAUUCAUAUGUCAUUACUUUAAUUUGCAUUUCUCUGGUCAAUAAAGAAGUAGAGCAUCUUUUCAUCUACUGAUUAUUUAUUUGAAUUUCUUUUUUAAUGAAACAAUUCCUUCCCUUUUCAUAUUGGGAUUUUACAUAUUUCCUCUCAGAUUUUAAGGACUCUUUGUCUAUCAAAUAAAUAGUAGUUGUUUUCAUGUUUGAUGGUUUGGAAGUUCCUCCCAGUCUCUUGUUUGAUUUCCCAUGUAGAAAAUUAGAUUUUUAUACAGUUAAACUUUUCAGACUUUUCCUUUAUGGCCUUUGGAAUUUAGACAAUGUUUUCUAAAAGACCUUCCCCAUCAAUUAUUUUUAAUUUAAAAGUCACCAUUAUGGCCGAGCACGGUGGCUCACGCCUGUAAUCCCAGCACUUUGGGAUGCCAAGGCGGGCGGAUCAUGAGGUCAGGAGAUCGAGACUAUCCUGGCUAACACGGUGAAACCCCCUCUCUACUAAAAGUACAAAAAAGUGGCGGGCGCCUGUAGUCCCAGCUACUCGGGAGGCUGAGGCAGGAGAAUGGCGUGAACCCGGGAGGCAGAGCUUGCAGUGAGCCAAGAUCUCACCACUGCAGUACAGCCUGGGUGACAGAGCGAGACUCCCGUCUCAAAAAAAAAAAAAAGUCGCCUUUAGAAAAGAUCUAUGUGGUCUUGUCAUUUCUAGGUAAGGUGCCUUGAUUUCUCUGACUAGAAUCGUGUUUUAUUACAUUAUCUUUUAUUUUAAAAAUCUACUCAGAUAUGUUAAUAUGUAUUAAAAUUGGCAAUUAAUCUUCUAAUUGUAUCUUUUACUGUUAUAUAAACAUCUUUUUGACUCCCCUGAUAACUGUUGCUACAUGUGUUUGCUUUUCGUAGUAUUUCCCUGGUCUAUCUCUGCUCAUCAUAAUAUUUAAAGUAUCUUUAUGUUAUUUUUGUUCUUGAUAGGUGUCCUGUAAACAUUCUAUAGCUUUGACAUAAACGGAAAGUUUUUCCUUUUUAUAGAAUUAAACGGUCAUAUUUAUCACGAUUACUAAAUUUGGCUGUUACGAUGUGAAUGUAUGUGUGUGUGUAUGCGUGUGUAUGUGUGUGCAUGUGUGUGUGUGCAUGUGUGUAUGUAUGUAUAUGUAUGUGUGUAUGUGUGUUUCCUUUCCCUAUGUUCGGAUUGAUCAUUUUUUGUUUGUUCUUUUUGCUUGAUGAUUUGGACUCCUGUUGUUAUUCUACCGGUGGUUACCCUUGAAUCUGAAAACACAUAUAGACCUAUAGUUUUUUUAUUCACUUGAAUAAUUUGUCAAUAUCUUCUGAUCUAAACAAGAAGGGACCUUAGCAUACUGUUCUUCUCUACUUCUCUUGCAAUAUACACUCUACCCCAAAUCUCAGGAAUUUUAGUUUUAGAAUAUUAGUUUUAAAUUUGUUCAAAUAUACUUCUGUUUUAUAAAUUAAUUUUUAUCUAAGGCAUUCACAUUUUCAGCCACCUAUCGAGUGAUUAUUUGCCCUCAAAUAUAUGCUGUACCAGUCCCUUCGCCUGUUUCUUCUAUAUCAUAUCUUGUCUUCCAUGGAUUCCUGCUCCUAGACACACAACAUCUUCCACAUAAAAUCAGGACCCAAUUUUAUGUGGAGAGGGUGGGCUGCACGAGGAGGUACACUUGGAAUGCCCACCUCCCUGGGCUACUUGACCUCCCUCCAUAGCCAACUUCUCUUCAGUGGCAGAUCACGUGGCAAAAACAUGUUGUCAGACUGACAGCAAACUUGCCUCUCCUCCCUUCACACUCACAAGUAGAAAGCAUAAAACAUCUCAGAAGUGCUCUAGGAGGAUAAUCAGUAGCCAUAAACCCUUGGACCACAGAGCUACGAGGCAGAAGAAUAUUACUCUUCUGGGCACCCAAAAGGCUCUGGAUAAGAAGGGAGGAGAGUACGGAUGGGGCUGAAAACAUGCUCAGAAUGGCUGAUUUGAGGGCUUUCCCCUGGAAACUUCCUCUUGUUUUGUAUUGUCAAAAGGUUGAGAACCUUAAAACAGACAUUUGUGUGGGCAACUAUCUGAUGUUCGAUGCCAUACUUCACUGGAAAUAACGACCUUGACAAAAGCCAAACAUCUGUUCCAAGUAAAACAAAAGCAGAGAACACACAACCUCGCCGCGUCCAAAGGGCAAGCCACGCUGGUGCAGGAACGAAGCCUCCCGCCUCAGAGGGCGCGGGGCUCUGUGCUGUGUCCUGUCUCCUGUCAGCCGGCUCUGCCCGCACGCUGAGCUGCGGUUAUGGCUCCGGGAGCAAACAACCCGGAAGUGGCAGCGCGGCUGGGCGGAGGGCGCCCUCCUGGUUCCGCUGGGGCUGCGGCUCCCUGAGGCCCCGAGGGGACCCCGCUCACCCGGGCCCCGCCCACCAGAGGGCGCCAGAGAGAAGCCACCGGGGAGGCGCCUGCGCUGUUUCCCUGAGCCUCCUGGUACCCCGUUUGAGACACAGGAAAAAACGCGUGAAAGGCUUCUGUAAAUUAUCAAGUGUGGUGACGUAUGAACCCCAGGCAGCCCACUCCCAACCCCAAACAACAUCUCAUUCAAGCUGCGUCUACCAGAAGCUCGCACAUCCAACUGCCUCCCUCCAGAGGUAGCCGCUGUCCCGAAUUUUGCUUUGAAUGUUCCCUGUGAUUUUCUUUUUUAUACUGUGUAAUUGGAUUUUUAAAGGGAUUUCAUAACAUUUAUAUUCCCGGAGGCUUGAAUUUUUUUGCUCAUCGUUUUUCGUUACCACGUAGUGAGGUGUUGCUGCAGUUCCUCGACUUUGUGACUCCACAGAUACGAAUAUGUGGCACUUUGUUUAACCACUGUCCUGUCCGAUUAUUCCCAAGGUUUUGCUACUGCAGACUAGGAACAUUUUUGAACAUGAUUCCUGGAGCACUGUGUAAGAAUAUCUCUAGGCCAAGUGUAUACCUGGGCAACCUAAUAUACAUGGAACCAGAUUGUUUUCCAAGUAUUUGAACCAUUUACCUGCGUCCAGUGGUGUCUAAGUGUUCCUGUUAUUCCCAACAAUGGGAGUUCCCCUGCACAAGCUCUCUUACCUACCACCAUGUGAGAUGUGACUUUGCUCCUCCAUCGCCUUCCACCAUGACCAUGAGGCUUCCGCAGCCAUGUGAAACUGAUUUUGAAUAUAUCAUCCAGCUCCUUCCUGGCCUAUAAAGUUUCUGGAAAAAGAAAAUCCAUGGAUAUCUUACACGAGAGACAUGGAAUCAUGAUUGGAGCGAUGUCCACCAGAUGUCAAAAUAGAGUUCUGGAUUCUUGUUUUGUAUCAACUUUAAUGAGAUAUAAUUUCCAUAUAAUAAAAUGUACAUAUUUGUGUAUAAUUUGAUAAGUUCUCAAAAGCUUAUACACCCAUGUAAACACCUCCACAUCAUGAUACAGAACGUUUCAAUUACCCUAACAAGCUCUUCUCUGCCCUUUUGAUACAAAUCCUUCAUCUCAGCCCCAAGCAAUCACUAUUCUCUCACUUUACAUUAGUUCUCUUAUUGUGCAGUUUUAUAUAAAUGGAAUUAUACAAUAUGAACUUAUUUUGUAUCUAUCUUCUUUUGCUAAUCUAAACACUUUUCAGAUUCAUCCAUGUUGGUGCAUGGAUGAAUGCAUGCUAAGUCCUAUUCCAUUAUAUAGAUGUAUCACAUUCAUAUAAUUAUACUCCAUUAUAUAGAUUGCUAAAUCCUAUUCCAUUAUAUAGAUAUAUCACAAUUGUUUUGUCCAUCAUCUAUUGAUGGAUAUUUGUCUUAAUUUUAGCUUUAGAUUAAUUUGGAUAAAGUUGGGGUAAGCAUAAAUACAUAGGCCUUUGUGUUGAUAUAUGUUUUUCAAGCUCUUAUAUAAAUCCCUAGGAGUAUACGUUCAACUUUCUAAAAAAAGCCAUUUUUUCCCCAAAGUAGUUUUGCCAUUUUACAUUUCCACCAGAAAUUUACGGUUGUUGCAGUUGUUCUACAUUGUUUCCAACACUUGAAAUUGUCAGUUUCUUUAAUGUUAGUGGGUCUCUAAUGGUAUCCCAUUUUGCUUAUAAUUUCUAGUUCCUUGAUGACUAAUGACGUUGAACAUCUUUUCACAUGCUGAUUGGCUAUGCAUAUAAGUUCUUUUAUGUAGGGUCUGUUUGUAUCAGUUAACCAUUUUAAAAAACAAUUAGGUUGAUUGUCUCCCUAUUAUUGAAUUUUUAGAAUUAUUUAUAUAAUAUGGAAAUACAACUUUUGUCUAAUAUAUAUGUUAUGAAUAUUUUCUCCAGGUUUGUGGUUUGCCUUUUCAUUUUCUUAUCUAUGUCUUUCAAAAAGCAGAGGUUUCUAAUUUUUAUAAAGCCUACUUUGUAAAUUAUUUUCUUUGGUGGUUUGUGCUUUUUGUGUGUGUACUACCUACAAAAUUUUUGUAUACCCAAAAGUUGCAUAUUUUUUCUAGUAGCUUUUAGUUUAGCUUUACUGUUUUGGUAUAUGAUCUGUUUAAUGUUCAUAUAUGGUUUGAGGGAGGGAUUAUGGUUCAUUCUUUUCUAUAUACAUAACCAGUUAUUUCUUUUCUAUAUAUAAGUAACCAGUUGUUUCAACACCAUUUUUGAAAAGAUUAUCUUUUGGCUGGGCAUGGAGGCUCAUGCCUGUAAACCCAGCACUUUGGGAGGCCGAGG